rnacentral:rRNA from 1 species
AACGAACGCUGGCGGCGUGCUUAACACAUGCAAGUCGAACGCGAAAGGGAUCUUCGGAUCCCCGGUAGAGUGGCGCACGGGUGAGUAACGCGUAAAUAAUCUACCCUGGUGUCUGGAAUAAUCAGCCGAAAGGCUGACUAAUACGGGAUACAUGCUUUGCUGUUGGGUGAAGCAGGAAAGGUGGCCUCUAUUGAUAAGCUAUCGCACUGGGAUGAGUUUGCGUACCAUUAGCUAGUUGGUGGGGUAAUGGCCUACCAAGGCGACGAUGGUUAGCGGGUCUGAGAGGAUGAUCCGCCACACUGGCACUGGAACACGGGCCAGACUCCUACGGGAGGCAGCAGUGAGGAAUAUUGCGCAAUGGGGGCAACCCUGACGCAGCGACGCCGCGUGAGUGAGGAAGGCCUUCGGGUCGUAAAGCUCUGUCAGCAGGGAAGAAGUGCAUGGUGGCUAAUAUCCAUUGUGUUUGACGGUACCUGCAAAGGAAGCACCGGCUAACUCCGUGCCAGCCGCCGCGGUAAUAC